AGGAUGGCAUCCUAUGGCAGGGCCCCCAUAUGGAGCGGUGCCAGAGAUCGACCAUGAAGAAGGAGCAUAGACGAAGUGUUAUGGAGUGACUGCAGUCCUCAUUCCUUGUUCCCCUGCACCGCUUGAGGGGGAGGAGGUAGGAGAAGGAAUGGGAGUGAGAAUUAGUGCACUCAUCAAUGUUUAGUCACCACAGAUAUAAGGAAUGAAGGAUAUAAGAGCCUGAAAACAUUCAAGAGAUACACCAAUUGUCUAGAGCUUUUCUCAGAUUAUGAAGACUCUUCAGCUAUCUUAAGGAUUUCUCUGUUCUCUGAAGGCCUUCUACUCAAGGCCAGAAGUGAGAAAGAAGAUGGGAACUGUGCAUUCAAACCUAGGGAUUGAGAAGGGUGGAAUAUGGCUAAUCUUUGAUUCAGUUUUGUUCUGUUGGAGCAUGAGGAGUUGGGUAGAAAACAGCAUGCAGCUUCUGACUGAAAGGGGCACCCUUUAAGUCUUAAAGGAUAUGUUGAUUUAAUGCUUUCUCUAGAUAAGGAUGCAACAUAUGUCAAAUAAAUUAUAUAUUAGAAUGCAGGAGAAUUUGGUUUUAUUUUCACGUUAGCAGAGAAGAUAAAGAAACUUUGUUUAACAGCUGGGUUUGAUCUCCGAGAUAGCAGGGAUGUCUGCUUGGAAAAGACACUUCAAAAGCAGGUUGAACUGACAGAAGUUAUAGCCACAGCUUUGCCAUCUACCUGUACAGUAACAAGUUUUCCUGACAUUCUCUCUGUGUUCAACACAGCUGAGCAGAAAUAAUAAUAAAAAAUACUUAUGACUGUGAAAAAAUUAGACAGCAAAAGGGAAAUAUGUUCUUCUUGAAAUCUUGCUUAUAGAAUUUGUUUCUGUUGAAAGAUUAAAG
rnacentral:lncRNA from 1 species